UACGGAGGGAGCUAGCGUUGUUCGGAAUUACUGGGCGUAAAGCGCACGUAGGCGGCUUUGUAAGUUAGAGGUGAAAGCCCGGAGCUCAACUUCGGAAUUGCCUUUAAGACUGCAUCGCUUGAAUCGUGGAGAGGUGAGUGGAAUUCCGAGUGUAGAGGUGAAAUUCGUAGAUAUUCGGAAGAACACCAGUGGCGAAGGCGACUCACUGGACACGUAUUGACGCUGAGGUGCGAAAGCGUGGGGAGCAAACAGG
rnacentral:rRNA from 1 species